GCCACCGCGAUCCACCGUAGAUCGACGGUCGAAACUUAGUGUUCGAGGUUCCGAAGUACGUUUUGAGUCUCAGAAAAUCAUCGUUUGACUUGUUGUGGAACCCGAUCAUUUUGGAUUUGUAUGGAUUUGAUUGAUUGACUCUUGGUGAGGAAUUUUAAAAUAAGCUAAGGACCUAAGGUGUGGCUUUAGCUGUUGAGCAACUUGUGGAGCACGGACUCAGUAGCAAUGCAAUAAUGGUUUAGAGUUUUCAUAUGGCUGCCUUAAAUUUAAAGUAUUCAUAUGUGUAAUAAUUUCUUCUAAUAAGUUUAUAUAAAAGUUUUAAA